rnacentral:rRNA from 1 species
GACGAACGCUGGCGGCGUGCUUAACACAUGCAAGUCGAGCGGUAAGGCCCUUUCGGGGGUACGACGAGCGGCGAACGGGUGAGUAACACGUGGGUGACCUGCCCUCAGCUCUGGGAUAAGCCUGGGAAACUGGGUCUAAUACCGGAUAUGACUCCAUGACGCAUGUUGUGGGGUGGAAAGCCUUGUGCGGCUGAGGAUGGGCCCGCGGCCUAUCAGCUUGGUGGUGGGGUGANGGCCUACCAAGGCGACGACGGGUAGCCGGCCUGAGAGGGCGACCGGCCACACUGGGACUGAGACACGGCCCAGACUCCUACGGGAGGCAGCAGUGGGGAAUCUUGCGCAAUGGGCGAAAGCCUGACGCAGCGACGCCGCGUGAGGGAUGAC